UACGGGGGAUGCAAGUGUUAUCCGGAAUAAUUGGGCGUAAAGCGUCUGUAGGUGGUUGACCAAGUCUGUUGUUAAAAAUCAGGGCUCAACCCUGAUCCGGCAACAGAAACUAGUAAACUUGAGUACGGUAGGGGCAGAGGGAAUUCUCGGUGUAGUGGUGAAAUACGCAGAUAUCGGGAGGAACACCGGUGGCGAAGGCGGUUCUCUGGGCCUUACCUGACGCUGAGGAGCGAAAGCGUGGGGAGCGAACAGG
rnacentral:rRNA from 1 species